rnacentral:rRNA from 1 species
AACGAACGCUGGCGGCAGGCCUAACACAUGCAAGUCGAACGCUCCGCAAGGAGAGUGGCAGACGGGUGAGUAACACGUGGGAAUCUUCCUAUCGGUACGGAAUAGCUCAGGGAAACUUGAGGUAAUACCGCAUACGCCCUUCGGGGGAAAGAUUUAUCGCCGAUAGAUGAGCCCGCGUCUGAUUAGCUAGUUGGUGGGGUAAUGGCCUACCAAGGCGACGAUCAGUAGCUGGUCUGAGAGGAUGACCAGCCACACUGGGACUGAGACUCGGCCGAGACUCCUACGGGAGGCAGCAGUGGGGAAUAUUGGACAAUGGGCGCAAGCCUGAUCCAGCCAUGCCGCGUGAGUGACGAAGGUCUUCGGAGUGUAAAGCUCUUUUGCCAGGGACGAUAAUGACGGUACCUGGAGAAUAAGCCCCGGCUAACUUCGUGCAGCCGCCGCAGUAAAAC